GGGGGGGGUUGGAAGCGCUCUUUUCGGGACCGCGGCGCUGAAGGGGGAGGGCUCGGCCAAUCAGCGCGCAGCGCGCCCGUGCUUUCAGCCAAUGGCUGCGCUCGCUGCGCACUCAAGCCCCGCCUUCUGCUGGGAGCCAAUGGCGGCGCGGCGCUGCGUGGCGUCAACCAAUCGCUGUGCGCGCUGCGCUUUGCUCCCGCCUUCCGCCGGUGGCCAAUGGUGGGGGAGGAUCGAGCAAAGAGGCGGGCUCAGCGCAUGCGCUCUCCACCCUUCUCCCCAGCGGGCGGGGCUACGCAGCUACUCACCCACCUAUUGGAUGAUGCGUUGACAAGCUUUCCGCUCAACCAAUGAGGUGGUAGGGGUGCUGAGCGCGGUCACGCCCUCUCUCCACCCGAUUGGGCGCGCGGGAGAGCGGCAGAUCCACCAGCCAAUGAGAGCGCCGGGAACGAAGGGAGGAGGCGUGGCUUAGCUCUCCCGCGCCCGAGCGGCGUUGAGGGCGGUGCGGGCGCCAUUUUGUGCGGAGCCCCCGAGCCAGGAGGCGGCGGCGGCGGCGGCGGGGCCCAGCGGCUCCCCCGGCCGAUCCGAGGACGCUCUUGGCAACCCCCACCCCACCACCACCACCCCCAAAAUCCCCUUUUCUCACCCCAAAAACCCGUUUUGAGGGCAAAAAAGGGUUUUUUGGGGGCCGAGCAGCGCCAAUUUUUUCGCCGCCGCCAACAUUUUUCUCUUUUUUCCCCAAUUUUUCCCCAAUUUUUCCUCGUUUUGCCCCAUUUUUCCCCAUUUUCCCCUUUUCCACAUUUUCUCCCAUUUUUCCCAUUUUCCCCUCUUCCAUUUUUUUCCCAAAAAAGCUCUUUUUUCACUUUUUCCUAUUUCCCCAUUUCUUCCAUUUUUCUCUUUUUUCCCCUUUCCCAUUUUUCCUCUUUUCUCUCUUUUUUCCCUCAACUUUUUCUUUUUUUCUUCUUUUUUCAUUUUUUCAUUUUUUUCGUCAUUUUUUUCAUUUUUCCCCCUUUUUUCUCAGUUUCCCAUUUUUACACUUUUUUCCCCCAAUUUUCCACUUUUUCUCCUCACUUUUCCUCUUUUUAAAGAUUUUUUCCCCUUUUUCACCAUUUUCCCUUUUCUUCAUUUUUUCUUCAUUUUUUUCCAACACUUUUUCCCUCUUUUCAACAUUUUCCCCUUUUCUGCUCUUUUUUAAACCAUUUUUCCACAUUUUUGCUGUUUUCCCUUUUUUCCCUAUUUUUUCCUUCUCCAUUUUUCCCUUUUUUGGACUUUUUUUUUGUGCCACUUUUUCCUUUUCAAUUUUUCUCCCUUUUUUUCCUUUUUCCCCCGUUUUUCCAUUUUCCCUUUUUUCCCCUUUUUCCCCCUAAUUUCUCCAUUUCUCAAUUAUUAUUUUUUUUAAUUUCCACUUCCUUUUUUUUUCCCUUUUCUGAAUUUUUCUCCCCUUU
rnacentral:lncRNA from 1 species